rnacentral:piRNA from 1 species
UACACAAAACCACCUAGGCUAUAGUCCCC